rnacentral:lncRNA from 1 species
CUCCUAAAAACUGUGUCCAGUAUCUUCAAAGGGAUCAGAUGGGAUGUGUCAGCAGCUUCUAGAUAUAUCUUAUUAAAAUAACAAACACAAAAUCAUCGUAUGGAGUGAGGAAAUUUCAAGCCACUACUUCAUGAACUGCUUAUCUUUAUGAACACCGGUUUGCUUUUAUGCGUCCAACAAUAACAUCUUACCCAUGUUUGUUUUAGUUUUUGUUGAGAUGCUGGAUGUCCGGUUCUGUUAUAAUUCAGUUCACU